ensembl:lincRNA Gm13191 predicted gene 13191
UGGACUCAUCCCUCAGUGUCAGUCAACUAUGACCAAAACACCUGGCCUUCUGCAGCCUGAGUGGUGAGAAGACAGCGUGAUGAGGCGCUGUGCUCCUUCACCAAAGCCAUGAGUUCCCAUUAGUUUAUAUGUGAUAGUAAGGCUGCAGGACACCAGCGUUCAGAAUAUACACAGACACAGAACUUGAAUGAGCAAAGGUCUGUAAUAGACAUCUUCUAAGGAAACUGUACGGAGACAAGCGUGUGAAUCUUUUGGGAAAUGCAAAUCCAAGCCUCAGUGGGAGACUGCCUCACAUGCAUUGUAAUGACUGCUGACCCAAAGCAAAGCAACAGAAGAAACAAACACUGAACAAAAUCCAGAAAUUAUCAACACUUAGGGUGAUGUGGGAACAUUGGGCUGUGGUGAGCUGCCUGUGA